UACGGAAUGUGCAAACGUUAUUCGGAAUCACUGGGCUUAAAGAGUCCGUAGGCGGCAUGUUAGGUGAGGUGUGAAAUCCCCCGGCUCAACCGAGGAAUUGCGCUUCAAACCGGCUUGCUAGAGGAAGAUAGAGGUGGGCGGAACUGAUGGUGGAGCGGUGAAAUGCGUUGAUAUCAUCAGGAACACCGGAGGCGAAGGCGGCCCACUGGGUCUUUUCUGACGCUGAGGGACGAAAGCUAGGGGAGCGAACGGG
rnacentral:rRNA from 1 species